rnacentral:lncRNA from 1 species
GCUCAAAGAGAGAACUCUCUUUGUUCUUCUUCUAAAGUUCUCUCUCUUUCCUCUCUUCUCUCUUCACUCCUCACUCCUCACUCUGCCGCACAAGAGUUUUCUCUUUCUUCUUCUCUCUUCACUCCUCACUCUGCCGCACAAGAGUUUUCUCUUUCUUCUUCUUCUGAAGUUUUCUCAUGAUGCUCUGAGAUGGGGUCAUGAUUUUGUCGCAAUCGAGGAAAGAGAGGGGAGAUCGACUAAGGUGAGACGCGGCUUGGAAUCUUGAAUUAAUAAAGGGCCAACGGCGGGGUUUUGAGCUAUAAGGAUUACCUAGCUUCUGAGUAGAAGACGGCUUGGAAUUUCUAGAUUUUAGUUAACAUGCCUAGAUCUGGAAUCAUUGUAUACUGAUAUGAAGAUGUAUUAUUUGUAUUGUUUUUUAUAUGGAAAAAUAAAUGAGGGGUCCUAACCUAGAAAGAGACAUUUCUCUAAUUAAGUUCAGUGAGGAUUUGUUCAGUUUCUUAGCUGUUGAAAUUUUGUAG